GUGUGCCUACGGGGCGCAGCAGUCGGGAAUAUUGCGCAAUGGAGGAAACUCUGACGCAGUGACGCCGCGUAUAGGAGGAAGUUUUUCGGAAUGUAAACUAUUGUCGUUAGGGAAGAGAAAGGACAGUACCUAAGGAGGAAGCUCCGGCUAACUACGUGCCAGCAGCCGCGGUAAUACGUAGGUGGCAAGCGUUGUCCGGAUUUACUGGGUGUAAAGGGCGUGCAGCCGGGAGUGCAAGUCAGAUGUGAAAUCCCGCGGCUCAACCGCGGAACUGCAUUUGAAACUGUGCUUCUUGAGUGCUGGAG
rnacentral:rRNA from 1 species